GGAAAUGUGACUGCAAUCUGGCCAUGGCAUGUCACCCUCCAGAUUGCUACUGUUGGGUCUGGCUGGCUAGGCCCAUGUUCCUUCCUCCCUCACUGCUCCAUACAGGCUUCUUGAGAAGCUAUGUGCUUGUGAAAGACGAUGAUCUUCCCAGACAGAAGUCUAUUCUUUUGUCCAAGGUAUAUGCAUAGCUUUGCUACAACCUAUAAACAUGCUCUCAAAAUGGGAUAGGACAGGCUAGGAUAAUAUAAGAUGGAUAGAAA
ensembl:misc_RNA 7SK 7SK RNA